UACAGAGGGUGCAAGCGUUAAUCGGAAUUACUGGGCGUAAAGCGUGCGUAGGCGGUUAUUUAAGUCGGAUGUGAAAUCCCCGGGCUCAACCUGGGAAUUGCAUUCGAUACUGGGUAGCUAGAGUUCGGCAGAGGGAAGUGGAAUUUCCGGUGUAGCGGUGAAAUGCGUAGAUAUCGGAAGGAACAUCAGUGGCGAAAGCGACUUCCUGGACCAGAACUGACGUUCAGGCACGAAAGCGUGGGGAGCAAACAGG
rnacentral:rRNA from 1 species